GAUUGACCAAACAACCAUAGCAACAGUAACUAUUUUCCUUGUGAUAAAAGCUAAGCUAAAGGUUAUGUGCAUUACUGCAUCUCUCAAUCUAUUUGCUCCACAGCACAGUGCCAGACAAAGGAGCAAUAUUGGACUUGUACAGUUGGCCUAGAAAAUAUUUAGGAUAGAGCUCAAGUCUUCUCUGUGUAUCCCCAAAGCUCAGAUGGUUUAAGGACACAAAGAAAUGUCUCUGGACCAUGAGAACUGCUCAUUUUUCCCAGCAUGGACUAGAAUGCAGCUUACUUAGGUUUUUAGGUCACCAGACUGAAUCUCUGCAGUUCUGUUGAAAGAGGAAAAACAGUCCCUGAGUUCUGUGGGUGGAAAGGAAAGAAGGAAAAUGGCAUAACUCUGCCUGGUGACACACUGAUUUUGAGAGUGAAUGACUGGUGUAGAAUAUCAUGAGAAUGGAUUUAGAUCAAGUAAAGGAUGUGUGUACAAAAACACUGGAAAUGUGCAGCAAAUGUGGCUGAACACUGCAAACUGAGGCUUAUUUUCAUCCAGUCUCUCAUGUGCAAGAUGAGAUGAGUAGGCAUAUCCCUAUCAAAAGGCAAGUGAAUUUACCCCCAGCUGGGAAAACACGGCUUAGCAAGAGUUUUACAUCCGCCCUCAUUGAUCUACAGAUUAUCUCACAUUUGAGACUCUGGAGCCACUGGGAUUUGCAAGGAUGAGAAACAAAUGUGGGAAAGUGCAUAGAAUUUCUUUCACUUCAGGGUUAGAUAAAAACCCUGAUAAGUUAAACAUAAAGAGGUAAGUUUUUGGUUUUGUUUUUGGUUUUUUUUUCUUCAUGCAUAAUUGUUGCAGAGGUCAAAAAAAAUCCUCAAAAGGCAAUAAUUUAUCAGCACUGGCAAGAAGUUGUCAUCCUGGUCAAAUCCUCAAAGCAGCAGAUUGGAAAUAAACUUGAGAUAGCAAAGGACUAUAGCCUGUUCUGUUUUUAACUGUCCUGCCAGUUAAACAGUUGAGAAACAAAAUGUCUGCAUGUGAGCUCACUUAAACAGAGAAGUAUUAUGUGUCUGAUGCUGCAGUGUCUGACUUCAGAGAAUCCCUCAGGGUUUUUGCAUUUUCAGCUACACUGUUUAUAUUUUUGACCUUGUUUUGUCCUAGCAGGAAAUAACUAUAAAAAUACAAAAUAUAAAUGAAUUGGUUGUUGUGCUAGUUGAAAAUGCUUUAUCAAUGUAAGGUGGCAGUGGAAAUAAGAGUGAAAGUCAGAUGUGGCAGA